rnacentral:rRNA from 1 species
ACGCUGGCGGCACGCCUAACACAUGCAAGUCGAACGAAGUAGCAAUACUUAGUGGCAGACGGGUGAGUAACAUGUGGGUAUCUGCCCUUUGGCCUGGAAUAACACGAGGAAACUUGUGCUAAUACCGGAUAAGUCUUUACAGAGAAAGCUUUAUGCACCAUUGGAUGAGCCCGCAUUUGAUUAGUUUGUUGGUGGGGUAAUGGCCUACCAAGACUUUGAUCAAUAGCUGAUUUGAGAGGAUGAUCAGCCACAUUGGGACUGAGACACGGCCCAAACUCCUACGGGAGGCAGCAGUGGGGAAUCUUGCACAAUGGAGGAAACUCUGAUGCAGCGAUGCCGCGUGAGUGAAGAAGGCCCUUGGGUUGUAAAGCUCUUUCGUCGGGGAAGAAAAUGACUGUACCCGAAUAAGAAGGUCCGGCUAACUUCGUGCCAGCAGCCGCGGUAAUACGAAGGGACCUAGCGUAGUUCGGAAUUACUGGGCUUAAAGAGUUCGUAGGUGGUUGAAAAAGUUGGUGGUGAAAUCCCAGAGCUUAACUCUGGAACUGCCAUCAAAACUUUUCAGCUAGAGUUUGAUAGAGGAAAGCAGAAUUUCUAGUGUAGAGGUGAAAUUCGUAGAUAUUAGAAAGAAUACCAAUUGCGAAGGCAGCUUUCUGGAUCAUUACUGACACUGAGGAACGAAAGCAUGGGUAGCGAAGAGGAUUAGAUACCCUCGUAGUCCAUGCCGUAAACGAUGUGUGUUAGACGUUGGAAAUUUAUUUUCAGUGUCGCAGCGAAAGCGAUAAACACACCGCCUGGGGAGUACG